rnacentral:rRNA from 1 species
AAAACUCUAUGGAAAACAGCCGUCCCAGGGAAAGUUCGGAUGUUCCUAUGGCGUCUGUCACAACACUCCAUCCCUACAAAUGAUGUCAGGAUGAACAGGCAUAUGGCUGUUUCGAGCUCAUGCAGCAUAUGUGGAGUACCUGACUCUUGGCGCCACUCGCUCGUAGACUGUACAAUGUCCCGGUGCACCUGGGCGCUUGUGGACGAGGAGUUGGGACAGUCGAUAGCGUCGACGAUCGAGCCCAGUGCGAAACAGUGGCUUUUUACGCACAUGCAAUCACUCCCUCAUGAUCGGUUUGUGUUAAUGGCUGUAACGCUAUGGGCAAUUUGGGCGGCUAGAAGGAAAGCAAUCCAUGAAGGUGUGUUUCAAAGCCCGCAUGCUAUUCACUCAUUUGUGAACCGGUUCAUCCAGGAGCUGGCAAUGGUUCGGAAGACAGCUGCCUCUGUACCCAACGAACGGACAACAAGUGGAAGAAACACACAGCGACCGAAAGCCCCACCUAAUGGAUAUUGCAAAAUCCAUGUAGAUGCUGGAGUGAGGGCUGGAUGGAAGGGAUCAGCAGCGGCGGUUUGCCGGGACAGGGAAGGCAAUUACAUGGAU